rnacentral:rRNA from 1 species
GACAGAGGGGGCAAGCGUUGCUCGGAAUCACUGGGCGUAAAGGGCGCGUAGGCGGGAUGGCAAGUCGGUCGUGAAAUCUCUCGGCUCAACCGAGAAACGUCGGCCGAUACUGCCGUUCUUGAGGGAUGCAGAGGAGACUGGAAUUCCCGGUGUAGCGGUGAAAUGCGUAGAGAUCUGGAAGAACACCAAAGGCGAAGGCAGCGUCCUGGGAAGCAUCUGACGCUCAGGUGCGAAAGCUAGGGGAGCGAACGGG